rnacentral:tRNA from 1 species
AGCAGCGUGGCUCAGUGGAAAGAGCACGGGCUUGGGAGUCAGAGGUCAUGGGUUCUAAUCCCAGCUCUGCCA